UUGCGAUUGUGUAGGCUACUUUGUGCAUGAUUUCUCUAUUGUACUACAUAAUUGAUAACUCGUAUACCUCCACCACAGUACCUUGAAGUACCUUUUAUAAAGGCUAUUAAGAUACGAAUGUUUCAAGAAAGGAGUGAAUAUAUUUGGUCUGGCGAAGCGGUUUUAUACGCUGACUGAAUGGAAGCUGAUAAUUGAGUUUUUUUACUCUGCUGGUCUCGGGAAGAAAUUACGAGUCCUCACUGUCCGAGAGUCAAGACCGAGUACAAAUGUAUCCAACACCAAGACAAGACCGCAACACUCAAUAAUAUGGUCUCGAGACUGGAAUUCUCGGUCUCGAGUACUACAACACUGGAGCGGUGCUUCCAGUAGGCGGCCUCCUCCUGGGUGAGUAUUUCAUCGAGCACCUGAGCAGCAUGGUAGUAGUCCAGGUGGGUGGCGGUAGUAUCCGGGCUGGGAAUCUGGUGCCUCAAGCCGGGGUGUUCCAGGCUCUACUGGACAGCCAGACUCUGGUUGCCCGUAUCCACCUGGUGGAGCUUCUGCAUGGGCUCAGAGAGGACUGGGGCUCUGGGGAGAUGGGUUUGCAGGGUCUGCAGGCCCAGAGGAAGGAGACUGAGCUGGGACGGAUCCAGGCUGCAGCCAAGGAGAAGGAGCAGGCCUGGGGGAAGGUGCUACACUGUCACCUGCAGCUGCUGAGCCGGCUGGAGACCCUGCUGGACUGGGCCUGGGGCAUUGCCCAGGAUGGUAGCAUCCAAGGACUGGUUGCGAUUAGUUUCGGGGCCCUGACAGUGGACCCUGUAACAGGGGUGCUGGCUCCUGUUGUGGAGGUUUUCCUGGAUGUGUCCAGACAGACUGCCGUACCUGUUACUGCUUCAUACUGCCUGGCUCUGGGAGAUAAUCCUGACAGUGUGCUGAUAAGGAAGGUGGAGGCCCUGCAAGAUGAGUGGUGUCUGAGGAGCAGGUACUGGAAGCAGGAGAAACAGAAGGAGGAGGAGCUGCUAGGAGAUCUGGAGUCUCCUUGUGGCCACUCAAGAGGACUCUGAGCAGGUAAACUGAACUAGGCUGCAGGGCAGGCAGAUGGAUGGGGCUGCACAGUCCUCAACAAACAGGAAAGGAUUUCUCUUAUGCUGAGUUGUUUGAAUGCAUACAUGUCAUUUUGAUUUACGUUAAUAUCCCUAGUGGCAUUACUGUAUAAUGGAGACCCCUAUACAUUGUGUUUGUGUGUGCACAUGCCUGUAUGUGUGUGAGUUUGUGUGUGUGUGUGCACUGUAGGCCCACUGGGUGGACAGAGAGGAAGCUGAGGGUGGCUGCAGCGGAGCUUCAGGAGACUGACCAGUCAGAAUCCCAGAGGAGAGUGUCCCAGCUCUCAGACCUGUCUCUGCUCCUGCCGCCUCACGUUCUGCUUGUCGUCACUCAAGGUGAUGAUAAGGAGUGGGAGCAGCACUGCUGCUGGCAGACAAAGCUGGUGGCUGGCCUGGACAGGGUGAACGUGUUUGCAGAGAAACUGCAGCAGGACCAGGAAAGAUGAGAGGAGAGCAGACGGAGAGCACAGAGAGGAGAGCACAGAGAGGAGAGGAGACGGCAUCAAUCUAUGUCAUGGAUAGGAAAGUAAGACAGAGAAAUAUGGGAGCAGCUAAUCUCCAGGCAGAAAUACUCUGCCAGGUCUGCGCAGAUAUAGUGCAGAGACUGCAGUCAGCGGGAGGAUUCUCUGCUCCUGUCACACGUCGCUGUUGGGGACAUGAGCGUUGACUCCAGUCCUGCCUUCCAAUGGGUGUUCUUCAAGGUUCCAUUGGAGAGUUCAUCAAUGAGCUUGACGCCUUGAUAAGUUCCUUUCCUGAGGAUGGCUCACCUCUCACAGUUCUGGACCAUUUCCGGAGACCUUCUCCCCUACCUCACCUCGCUCAUCAACGCAUCCUUGACCGCUGGCUACGUCCCUUCCGUCUUCAAGAGAGCGAGAGUUGCACCCCUUCUGAAAAAACCUACACUCGAUCCCUCCGAUGUCAACAACUACAGACCUAUCUGCUGCCUUUGAUACCGUGAACCAUCAGAUCCUCCUCUCCACCCUCUCCGAGCUGGGCAUCUCCGGCACCGCGCACGCUUGGAUUGCGUUCUACCUGACAGGUCGCUCCUACCAGGUGGCGAAUCGCAUCUCUGCAUGUCUGGCAGACAUAUCAGUGUGGAUGACGGAUCACCACCUCAAGCUGAACCUCGGCAAGACGGAGCUGCUCUUCCUCCCGGGGAAGGACUGCCCGUUCCAUGAUCUCGCCAUCACGGUUGACAACUCCCUUGUGUCCUCCUCCCAGAGUGCUAAGAGCCUUGGCGUGACCCUGGACAACACCCUGUCGUUCUCCACCAACAUCAAGGCGGUGACCCGAUCC
rnacentral:lncRNA from 1 species